rnacentral:rRNA from 1 species
CGAAAGCCUGACGGAGCAAGACCGCGCGAGGGAGGAAGGCUCUUGGGUUGUAAACCUCUUUUCUCAGGGAAGAAGCUCUGACGGUACCUGAGGAAUCAGCCUCGGCUAACUCCGUGCCAGCAGCCGCGGUAAUACGGAGGAGGCAAGCGUUAUCCGGAAUUAUUGGGCGUAAAGCGUCCGCAGGCGGUUAUUUAAGUCUGCUGUCAAAGCACGGGGCUUAACUCCGUUAAGGCAGUGGAAACUGAAUGGCUAGAGUGCCGUAGGGGUAGAGGGAAUUCCCGGUGUAGCGGUGAAAUGCGUAGAGAUCGGGAAGAACAUCGGUGGCGAAAGCGAUCUACUGGACCACACCUGACACUCAGAGGACGAAAGCUAGGGGAGCG